ensembl:lncRNA
GGGGACAGAAGAGAGGUGGUGGGACAGAAGAGAGGUGGUGGGGACAGAAGAGAGGUGGCGGGGACAGAAGAGAGGUGGUGGGAUGGGAGAGAGGUGGCGGGGACAGAAGAGAGGUGGCGGGGAUGGGAGAGAGGUGGCGGGGACAGAAGAGAGGUGGUGGGGACAGAAGAGAGGUGGUGGGAUGGGAGAGAGGUGGCGGGGACAGGAGAGAGGUGGUGGGGACAGAAGAGAGGUGGCGGGGACGGAGAGGUGGGGGAGACGGGAGAGAGGUGGCGGAGACGGGAGAGAGGUGGUGGGGGGACGGGAGAGAGGUGGUGGGGAUGGGAGAGAGGUGGUGGGACAGAAGAGAGGUGGUGGGGACGGGAGAGAGGUGGUGGGGACAGGAGAGAGGUGGUGGGGACGGGAGAGAGGUGGUGGGGACAGGAGAGAGGUGGCGGG